rnacentral:rRNA from 1 species
CGAAGCUGUGGAUUGUCCUUUGGACAAUGGUAGGAGAGCGUUCUAAGGGCGUUGAAGCAUGAUCGUAAGGACAUGUGGAGCGCUUAGAAGUGAGAAUGCCGGUGUGAGUAGCGAAAGACGGGUGAGAAUCCCGUCCACCGAUUGACUAAGGUUUCCAGAGGAAGGCUCGUCCGCUCUGGGUUAGUCGGGUCCUAAGCUGAGGCCGACAGGCGUAGGCGAUGGAUAACAGGUUGAUAUUCCUGUACCACCUAUAAUCGUUUUAAUCGAUGGGGGGACGCAGUAGGAUAGGCGAAGCGUGCGAUUGGAUUGCACGUCUAAGCAGUAAGGCUGAGUAUUAGGCAAAUCCGGUACUCGUUAAGGCUGAGCUGUGAUGGGGAGAAGACAUUGUGUCUUCGAGUCGUUGAUUUCACACUGCCGAGAAAAGCCUCUAGAUAGAAAAUAGGUGCCCGUACCGCAAACCGACACAGGUAGUCAAGAUGAGAAUUCUAAGGUGAGCGAGCGAACUCUCGUUAAGGAACUCGGCAAAAUGACCCCGUAACUUCGGGAGAAGGGGUGCUCUUUAGGGUUAACGCCCAGAAGAGCCGCAGUGAAUAGGCCCAAGCGACUGUUUAUCAAAAACACAGGUCUCUGCUAAACCGUAAGGUGAUGUAUAGGGGCUGACGCCUGCCCGGUGCUGGAAGGUUAAGAGGAGUGGUUAGCUUCUGCGAAGCUACGAAUCGAAGCCCCAGUAAACGGCGGCCGUAACUAUAACGGUCCUAAGGUAGCGAAAUUCCUUGUCGGGUAAGUUCCGACCCGCACGAAAGGCGUAACGAUUUGGGCACUGUCUCAACGAGAGACUCGGUGAAAUCAUAGUACCUGUGAAGAUGCAGGUUACCCGCGACAGGACGGAAAGACCCCGUGGAGCUUUACUGUAGCCUGAUAUUGAAAUUCGGCACAGCUUGUACAGGAUAGGUAGGAGCCUUUGAAACGUGAGCGCUAGCUUACGUGGAGGCGCUGGUGGG